rnacentral:lncRNA from 1 species
UGGAGCGGGCACCUGGCGCUCCCGCGCUGCGGCGCGCAGAGCUAGCUGCGGGGCUGGGGAAUCCGCGGCCACCGCCUCUAAUCCGCCCUUAAGUAGUCUCCGCCUGCGUCACGCCAGGUCGGCGGAGGGGAGCAGAGCGCGGCGUGCCGCUGUCGCCGAGCGUCGGAGCCCGAGGGGCCGCGGCCGCGCGCCGCGGGGGGAGGAGACGGUCUGGAGUCCCCCCGCUGCGCCGGAGAUGGGGAGACGGAGAACUGCAGCGCCCCUUGGGGCUUCUGAGGCGCCCAGGUAACCUCACCUGGCCGCCAGUCUCCCGCAGGAGGAACAGACACAUUGGUUCUACACCGAACCUAUUAACAGCUCAACUUCAAAUAUUUGGCAGAGGUGGGAUUGCAGUUCACUAAGGUUAUAUGAGCCAGCUUGGUUACGCAAAUGUGAAAAUGCACAUUUUCCAGCCUGUGUCAAGGUGGAAACAUCAGGGCAGAAGAACAUAACUGAUAAUAGCUGGUCACACCUAAGAAGCCAGGAAGCAGAGAGAAAUGGAGACCAGCCUACGAGGACACAUUCCUAGUGACCUUCUUCCCAACUUUGGGUUUCCACCAAUUCACAAGAACACCAUUAAUUAUGAAUUCAUCAACAAAUCAAUUCAUCAAUUAAGUUAAAGCUCCCAUGAUGCAAUCACUUCCCUACAUCCUCCCGUCUGAACAUCCUCGCCAUUGAGAACCAAGCCUUCAACACAUGAGUCUGGGCACAAUAAGUCACAUUGAAUCCAUUGAAGAUGUAAAUUUUAAUGGUUGAAAAUGACUAGCAUAUUAUGUCUGUGAAAUUCAGUAAAGGGGAAUAUGGAAGAGAACGUGUACUAAAACUAAGGGUUCUAGAACGCAUCUGUGCUCUUCCUUUCAAUCUGGAGAGUGAGACAAGGAAGUCUUAAGUUCAAGGCCAGCCUGGGCUAUGUAGUGUAUGCUACCAUUGGCUAUAUAAUUUGACUCCAGCAUUACAAGAAGUAGAGUAAAUAAAAGAUAAAAAAAAAUGACUAUAGAAGUAUCAAGAUAUUACGACUCAUUCAUAUGAUUUCUGCAAUUGAUUUAGUAUGGCAUAUGAUUUAGUAAUCAAAGUGGAUGAAGAUGAUAUAUAUGCAUUAAUAAGAAUAAGUAUGUGAGACUAAACACAGAAUGUCCACCAGACACUGGGCAGUAAUUAGAUUCAACUCUUGUAAAAAUGUUCAACAGGAAGAAAAAAAAACUAUAACUUUGCUUUAUACUUGGAUAGUUACUUUCAGUCAUACAGGUAUGGAAUAAAAUGAAAGGAAAAUGUAGAUGGGAUCUGAAGGCCAGCCUUCUAUUAUACUAUUAAAUUGUAGUGCAGGAAAGAAGAAGAGUUUGUUGUAUUUGAUGUUUUCCGAGGUUUUGUUUUUGUUUUUGAAGCAUCUUUUGUUUCACAGAUGCUGUUAAAUGUUGAACAUGACACAAUAAAAAGAAACAGACAAAAGUCACUGUCCUUGAGGAACUAGUAUGAAGAAAAAUCAGAUGUUAAUAAAACAAUCAUUCACAAGAAAAAAAAAAAAAAAAAAAAAAA